rnacentral:rRNA from 1 species
GACGUAGGGCGCGAGCGUUGUCCGGAUUUAUUGGGUUUAAAGGGUGCGUAGGUGGGUAGGAAAGUCAGUGGUGAAAUCUUCGGGCUUAACCCGGAAACUGCCAUUGAUACUAUUUAUCUUGAAUACUUUGGAGGUAAGCGGAAUAUGUCAUGUAGCGGUGAAAUGCUUAGAUAUGACAUAGAACACCAAUUGCGAAGGCAGCUUACUACACAGUUAUUGACACUGAGGCACGAAAGCGUGGGGAUCAAACAGG